GCCUACGGGUGGCAGCAGUGGGGAAUAUUGGACAAUGGGCGCAAGCCUGAUCCAGCCAUGCCGCGUGAGUGAUGACGGCCUUAGGGUUGUAAAGCUCUUUCGCCAGGGACGAUAAUGACGGUACCUGGAUAAGAAGCCCCGGCUAACUUCGUGCCAGCAGCCGCGGUAAUACGAAGGGGGCUAGCGUUGUUCGGAAUCACUGGGCGUAAAGCGCACGUAGGCGGAUCUUUAAGUCAGAGGUGAAAUCCCAAGGCUCAACCUUGGAACUGCCUUUGAUACUGGGGAUCUCGAGUUCGGGAGAGGUGAGUGGAACUGCGAGUGUAGAGGUGAAAUUCGUAGAUAUUCGCAAGAACACCAGUGGCGAAGGCGGCUCACUGGCCCGAUACUGACGCUGAGGUGCGAAAGCGUGGGGAGCAAACAGGAUUAGAUACCCCAGUAGUCUC
rnacentral:rRNA from 1 species